GUACUAAUCCCCCCAGAGGAACCUGGCCCUUAAUUCGAUGGUCCACGAAACUCUUACCUUUUCUAGUUUUUUUAGGCCUUAAGAGGGCCUAGAGAAGAUCAGUUCGCAUACCGCCGUUUGUCAGUUAGUAUCGUGAGAGCUAAGAAACAUGCGAUGAGGCAAAGGCUUUCCCUAGGGCCGGCCGCCCCAAAUUCAGGUAAACGUGUGGCCUAUGGAAAGGGGAAGCUGGGUUACAAUUGAAGUUUGUAAUGGAGUGAUUACGUUAAGCGUUCGGCGAAAGAGGAUUUGGAAGUAAUCUCCUUGGACACAGAGGUGGUGAAUGGAGCUCUAGUAUGUGC
rnacentral:rRNA from 1 species